rnacentral:lncRNA from 10 species
CUAACCAGGUGUUGGCAAGAAACAGGGACACUGAGACUCUCACACUGCUGGAAGGAAUGUAAAAUGCUAAAACUUCUUUGGAAAUGAGUUCAGUAACUUUUUAAACAGUUGAAAAUAGACCUAUCAUGCAAACCAGCAAUCCCACUUCCAGGUAUUUAUACAAGGAAAAUGACAACAUAUGCCCACAUAAAGACUUGUGCACAAAUGACCGUAGCAGCUUUGUGAUAAUUGCUAAAAACUAGAAACUUGUCAAGUGUCCAACAGGUACAGGGUGAACUCCGAGACCAUCUCUCCUAUUCAUUUACAUCCUCAGAACUUAGCACGAUGUCUGACCAUAGUGGAUUUUCAAUAAGUAACUAUGGGGUGGAGGCAUGGGGGCACCAAUGCAGGAAUCACCACACCUACUCAGAAAGAAGGCAUUUACCAAAUUGCAAAGGAACACAUCCUGCCUGCAGACAAUAAAUGGUGUGUGAUGCUUCCAUGAAGUGAGAUGGAUGGAGCUCUCCGUUGCUAACUGGCCCAUAAC